GGUGACAAGGCUAAGUGGGAAGGCUGGGGACUGAAAGCCCUUUUUCCCCAGUUCAAAUCCAGGUGUCACCC
rnacentral:tRNA from 1 species